CUCCCGUCCCGGUCCCCUCGCGGCUUUCUCUCGAGCUGAAAUUUUCAAAAUUCCCGUAGCCGUCGCCAGUCACGCUGGCGCCCGCCUUUCCUGGGCUUUCCGAGGUCUGGGACGGGUGGGGGCGGAGGGGGCUUCUAGAGCGGAGACCCAGAGUUGUAGGCCUUGGGACUCCCACCUCUCCCUUCUUUCCCCGGCGUCGCCCGCGUCUGCCUUCCCCUCUGGACCACUCCCCACGAGGCCACGUUUAGGGACACGUAGUUCAAGCCCCAGCCCUCCGGUCUGUGAAGUCCGGGCGCGCAGGCAACACCUCGGACUCUUCCUAAAGCAGUUUUGGUUCGGAGAUGCUUUGCAAGAUUAACACUGUCUGGGACGAGGACCGACCCGAACGCAGACCCGGCAGAAGACUGGCAGGGACGUUCGCCCUGGAGUGGGGUGGAGCUCCCGUGCCCAGCAGGCGUGCCUGUCGGGUUUCUUUUUAUUUUGUUUUUUUUUUUUUCCCUUUUUUUUUCCUCCUCUCUCUCCCUCUGUAAUAGGAAGACAAGUAUCCGAAUACACGUUGAUAAUGGUUUAUUGUGUGUCCCCUUAGCAGAACUGAGGAGAAAAAAAACUUAGAAGAGCUGUCUGUAUAUUCAGACCCUCUCUCCAUCGGUUCUGGAAGUUAUUUAGAGCUUUACUUUUAGAGACCUGUGUAUGUAGGGUAGUUGAAUUAGAAGCUCUUCUUUUACAGUGUAGUCAUACAUUUCAGAUCAAGCAAAUAAACUUCAGACUCAACCUGUUGGUGUCCCAUAAAACUGAGCACGUUGCACAUUCUGGUUGUGCAGUGGUUAAUACUGAGCUUUAAAAAGAUAAGUGAUUAGAGUAAGAGUAAAUAAUAAAGUUAGAGACCUAAAGUGAACUGUUACUGGAAGAAGUACACAUCCGACUCUUAAAGUCAAAGGGGUUCGCAUUCUGGAAACAAAAUUAUUUCCUUUUUUAUUUAAUCUGUUAGUACAUGAGAUUUAUUGACAUUUGCAAAUAUAUACUUCCAAUUUCAGUGCUUGGUGACUGGAUGAUGUUUUAGAAGUACUUUGGUUGUUUGUUAAUUAGAAUAGAAAUAAGAAAGGAUUUGGGGUGUUGAUCUAUUUCAUAUAUUUCUUGGUUGGUUGUAUUUCUGUGUAUAUAUCUACCUUCACUCCAACCAAGUCACAGGUAAUUUAUAAGGUAUUUGCUUCUGGUCCUAUAAAUAAGAACACCAGAUGUCUCCCUACUUAUAUCAGCUGAAAUAAUUAAUGCUUUUUGUUGUUUAUUUACUUAAGAGCAAGUGGGACAAGAGAAUAGGGCCAAAGUACAGUAUUUAACAGACCAAGUUAAAUGAAUUUUUUAUUUUAAAUAUUUACACGUUAUUUUGUACCUAGUUAUAGCUUUUUCCUCAAUGGUAUUAAAAUCUGUUGAAGUGAUUAGAAAUUUUGUAUAGAUUGAGCUUUUUAAUAUAGAAUUCAAAAAAGCUCUGCCUUUGUGCCAUUUAAACUGACAAUAAAAGAAAGUAUUGAUACAAAGAAUCAUUUAGUGCCCAUACAUUAUGCUUUGGUACUACCUGAAAAUAGGAUAGAGUCAUGGACAUAUAGUUUGGCAGCCUUCAUUGGCAAACGUUCUGUGACAAAAACUAAAAACUAAGGUAAGAGUAGUAGGUCUAAUGUAGAUUGCUUUUGUGUGGCUUGAGCACUGAAGAGUUCCUCAAAACAGUGAAGUCAGUUUUAGGUUAACUUCCCACCAGUUCCCAAGUUCUGAUGAACAGCAUAAGAGUGAUAUUUAGUUAUUUUAUUCUAAGUAUUGGUCAAUAGCCUACUAGAGAUAUUUAGAAGACAUUAUUAAAAGGAACCUUAGGGUUGUGGUUGUGACUCAGUGGUAGAGGGCUUACAUAGCACAUGUGAGGCACUGGGUUCAAUCCUCAGUUCCACAUAAAAAAAAAAAAAUAAAGUAAGAAUGUUUAAAAAAAAAAAAAAAAGGAAACUUAAAGGUAGCCAGAUCAUUUUGGGGCUUAGAAUGGGUUUAUAUUUCAUAUUAGUAGAAAAUGUCGUAGCACUUUGCAAAGGUCCUGAAACCAAGUUUCUGUCUAUAAAUCAAAUAUAACUUCUAAUUAUUUUUAUCCUCAAAUUAUUUUGUACCAGAAUAAUUCAGAAAUAGUAAUACUUAUCUUAAAAUCUUAGUAACUUGAAAGAAUGACCUAAGAGAGCUAGAAAAUCUAGUUUUUAUGCCUAGCCAAUGACUACUCUUGUUUCACAAUCAUAGUUUGAGAAUUUGAUUGUUUUGUGACUUGUUUUUCAUGUGAGACAUAUUUUCUCAUUGUCAUACAUUUUUAAAAAUUAUAAUGUAGUAUUGACAAAUGUAGAAUACCAACUGUUGGUCAAAAUGAGUUAACUAUAUUUGUCAAUAUUACUUGUAGUAACGGGUCAGGCACUUGGCCAGUGUGUGAGGAAAGUAUGAUCAAGUCACAAACAAUGAAUAUGGGAGGAGAAAGGAAACCAGAUUUGUUAAGCACCAACUCUUAUCAGAUCCAUUAAUUUGUUAUCUUCACAAUUUCUCCCUGAAGUUGCUAGGUAUUCCUGCCUGACAGAUGAAAAGUCUAAGGUUUAGGUGAAUGAGCUUGGGUCACAGACAUAUAAUAAAUCAAGAUGUGUUUGACCACAAAGCUUAUCUACACUAAUUAGUAAACUGCAUUUUGGGAUAAACUUGUAGAUAACCUUAUUGUUGUUUUUCUUUUAUAUCCCCCCCCCCCAGUUCUCAUAAGGAUUUAAAGCCUCAAAGAAACACCUUGCACAUGGUGUACCUUUGCAAAGUGUCAAUUCAGGAGUCUGAGGCAGGAGGAUUGCAAGAUUGGGGCCAGCCUGAGCAACUUAGAGAAACCCCAUCUCAAAAUAAAAGGACUGGGGUGUAGCUCAGUAGUAAAGGACUAUGGGUUCAAUCCCAAGUACUAAAUAAAAGAAACACACUUUUGUGGCUUUAUGUUGUGCUUUGUGUUGUUCAGUAUGAUAGCCACAAGUCUCAAAUGGCCAAAUUAAAAUUAAUUAAAAAUUGAGUUCUUCAGUAACACCAAUCACACAUCUAAUGCUCAGUUACAUGGCCACUGUAUUUGACAGUGCAUUCUACAGAAUAGUUUUGUCUUCCAGAGAGUUCUGUUGAACUGCAUUGAUUCUAGAGGUCAAAGGAAAAGGAGAAGGAAGUGCUAUUUCUUGAGUUUAUUAUCUCAUUUAAAUUUCAAACAGCCAUAGAAAUAGGUAAUGUUCUCAUUUUACAUUUGUGAAAACUGAAACUUGAAAGAUUUUGCCCAAAGUCAUAUAUCUAUUAAAGAGCAAUAUCAAAAAUCAACCCCAGGUCUAACUGGCUUCAUAGGCCAUCCCUUUCCCACUGUUGCAUCAUCUAUCCAAUUUCACAUGCUUACAGAGUCAUAAUAGAUUUUUUGAAGACUCAGUAUUUUAAAUAAUUUUAUCAUUACACAGUGGAACUCUACCAAUACAACAUAUUUGGUCUUUUUAAUAGUUUAUGCCAUAGUCUUGAAACUUGGAAUAUUACUUCUCCCUGAUUCCUAUGUGUCCCUCAACAUAUACCAAAACCAAGUCCAAUUUGUCUUUAAAAUUCUACUGAAAAGAAAAUAAGACACCAAAGUACCCUAUGAGAUACCUAAUAUUCAAGAUGUUAGGGAAAGAAGCACAUGACCCUUCAGGUGUUUUUUCUCCUUUUUCAAACUUUAUCGCCAUUAUGUUAAUUUUUAUUUCAUACUUUGGUCUGCAGAAUUGCAGUUGAAGCAAGAGUUACAAUGUGAAGAUCUGACCCAACAUGACUCCUCCUCCCUGGGUAUCUACCCAGCUGUCCUCCUGGCUUCUUGCUUUGAAGCUAGAUAGAUAAAAGAAUCGGCUAAGUUCUCUGAAGUAUUUUAUAUUCUCUAAAAUUUCUACUAGUUGUUUCUGCAACACCUACUUGGUUGUCCCUUCUAAGUUCAGCAUCAUUCCAUUGUUCUUAAUCUUUGAGGGAAUUGUAUUUGUAUUGAAUAGUAAAACAAAUCACAAAAGAAAAGCUUAAGUCUUGAGACCAGAAGAUCUUAUUCAAGGUAGAAGAAAUGGUAGACUAGUAACAACUGGAACUAACCAUUCAAAUUCUUUUGUUAUUUUGACAUUCUGUGACAUAUACCAUUCCUCCCCCUAUGUCACAUGGACAUCACUGUACAGCUUUUUUUUUUUUAAUCUUUAAGAGCCUGUACCCUGUCUUCCAGAUCUAUAAUAUGUGGUUUAAACUCCUCUUUUAAAUACCAAGAAGGAAUUCCCUGGAUUUCAUUACAGUAAAACCUUAAGAUGUUGAAAGGGAGUUAACUUGAGUUUUCCAACCAAAUGUGUCCCUACCCUUAAAGAGUUAAUAGUCUGUUGAGACAGGCAGUAAAAACAUUUCAGCACAUAAUUAUAAUUCAUAAUUAAAUGUGCUAUGAAGAAAGUUAACAAGGUAUAUAAUAAAGAAUAACAAAGGACUUUAUUUAGAUUGCUUAGUUAAUGAAAGUACUUUGUUUAUAUUAGAUUGUCAAGAGAAAAGGGUUGACAUUUAAACAAAAACCUGAAAUAGCCAACCAUACAAAGACUGGGAAUGUGGGUGUUGUGACUCGGGAUUAUUAUUCUGAUGGCUGUACAUCUAUACUGAACAAAUUGAAGCCAUCUAAUACUAGAUGUAAAAUUGAUCAUGUUGGAAACAUCUUUAUCAUUUUUAUUGAUUUUCAUAUUAUCUCGGUUUUUUUUUAUUCUAACCCUUUACUCUCAACUAAUUUGUGUUAUAUUUAUUUUUUCAUAAUAACAGCUGGAUUUUUUAAAAAUCUCACAUCAACACUUUCUUUUAAGAGCUUAAUCAGUUCAUGUGUUUUGUGAUUACUGAUAUAGUUACAUUUAUUUUUACCAUCUUAUUUUGUGGUUUCUCUUUACUGAUAGUCCGCAACUUACAAUAGUUCAACUUAUUUUUGUUGUUGUUGUUGUUAAUUUGCAGUGGUGUUAAAGCAGUACAUAUACAGAAGGAACCCUACUUCAAAUCUUGAAAUUUGUUGUUUUCUCUGGCUAGCAAUAUGCAGAGAUAGAGACAGUGGGCUCCAGCUGCCAGUCAGCUAGUGAAUCGACUGGUGCACUAUAGUGUGCUGUUACUAAACUAGGAUGGUCAGUGACUGAAGUGAAUUAAAUUCAUUUUUAGUUAGGAUAUUUUUAGUGCAUAACCCCAUCAUAAGCUGAGAAUCAUCUGUAUGAUUCUUUCCUCUCUUUCCCUCUGUUUUUCCUUCUCAGAUUUUAUUCCUUCCACCUACUCUCCUUUACUGAUUUGAAUGCAUUCUAGUUCUAUUUUUUUGAUAAUUUCCUUAAGUUUUGGCUAUAAACACUAUCCUGACCAUUAGAACAAUGUAAGAAUUGUAGCCAAAUAUCAUUUUAGUGUGAAUUAGAAACAGCUGCCUCUUUGGACAAUAUACUCCCUCAGACAGAUUUUUUUCUUAACAAAUAUACAAAAUUGCCAUGACUGCAGAUGGGUGUGAUACCCCUGGAGUUGUUGCAGCACAGGGCAUAUCUUGGCCCUCGUUGGAAAGGUUUAACUUCGAUCCCUCCCUAUCCUGUUUUCAACACUGUCACUGUUAGACUGUUGGCUCCACUGUCAUGUCAGUUGAUGUCUUUUUUAAUAGUCUUCAUAUUUAACCACUGUAACUGCCUUUUAAAGAAAUGCACUAUUUCUUGCUUCACAUUCCUUUGUUCAGAAUCCCGUCUUGGUUUGAGUAAGGUAUGUGCUAGAAUUCUUCUCUUUGGUAGGAGAUCUUCCAUCUGUCCUCAGGGGUAAGGGUCUGGGCAAGGCUCUGAGACUAGAGAGGCUGUUGCUUUACCUGAUCACCUCAGCAGCAUCAUGCCUCUACUCCCUGCUUUUUGACAAAAAGUCCACAUGGGGUUUGUCGUUCCUUUUAUUCAUCUGUCGUUGACUUUGGCUGCAGGUGAGUUUCUUUUUUCUCUUUGCCCUUGGGAUUCUGCUCUUCUACUAGGAUUUCUCCAGGUAUAGUUUUGAUUUUACCAUGUGCUGGACUCUCCUAAAACCUGUGAACAUGUGUCAUUUAUUUCUUUUAGAAACUUUGCCACCUCUAUUCUCUCUGUUCCUUGCUCAGGAAUUCUUAAUAGAGAUAUAUCAGCUAUUCUUUGUGUCUUGUGAUCUUUCUUACAUUCCAUUGAUUGAUUGAGGUUUGAACUGGGGAUUGAACCCAGGCCUGGCCCAGGCUAUAGGCAAGUGCCCUGCUUUGCUGCUACAUUCCCAGCCCCAUUUCUUAAUUUUUUGAUAACUUUAAUUUUAUUCAUGGGAUGCUAGUUCUCUAUUUGUUGUGUGUGCUUACUCCCUGCUAGUUUUUAAUUAUUAUUACAAAAACUAUCUUCUGCAGUUACUGCAUUUUUGUUUCUGGGAUGUUUCCUGCACUAUUCCAUGAGCCCUGGGUUAUAGAAGUGUUUCUGUAGAGUGAUUUGGGGAUAGAGUCUCAAGUAAGUUUAAAAAGAGAUUUUUUUAAAUGUGAUAAUACAUGCUUAAGGUGGAAAAUUCAAAAGGAUAUACAAUGAAAAAUAAGUCUCCAUCUCACAAACACCAUGUUCCACUCCACAGAAGCAAGGGCUUUGUUUCAAUGUUGUUCCAGAGCUAUUCUGUCCAAGUACAAACAUAAGGGUAUGAACCUAUUCCCACACGCUAAUUAUAGCAUACUGUGUAUACCUUUAGCAGUAUUUACUAUCUCAAGAGCCUUUCUUGUCUGUAUAGAGAACGAUCUCAUUUGCAGUCCACUAUUAACAUUUGAGUUGUUUCCAAUCUCUUACUACUUGAUGCUGCAAUAAAUAUUCAUAUAUAUGUCAUUUACAUGGGUAAAAUUAUAAAUUCCUAGAGUAAAAAUGCUGUGGCUCAUAGUGUGGACAUUUUUCAUUUGAAUGUUUAUUUCCGAAGUGUUCUCUGGAAAGACUGGAAAAACUUUUAUUAAAAUUUAUGAAAAUGCAUAUUUCUCACCCUCUUGCCAAAAAUGUGAUAUUAAAACUUCUUGUUUUUUGUUGAUCUGAGAGGUUAAAAUGGCAUCUCAUUGUUGUUUUAAUCUAGUUUCUUUCAUGGUUUUCAGUUUCUAGUUCCAUUUGGAAUUGAUUUUGCUUUAAGAUGUGAAAUAAGAAUGCAACUUCUGUGGGGAUGUUUUGUUUUGCUUUGAACAGAAGUCUUCUCUUGUCCCAGUGUAGUUUAUGCAAUAAUCCUUCUAUUCCCCAAUACUUGAAAUGUCAUCUGUACUGUUUAUUUUCUUUAGAAACUUGAGUUCUUGCUAUUACUUUCACUAGAUUUCUCAUUCUACAUGGGUUAGGUAAACUGAGGCCCCGCUCCCACAAGUGACACAAGCCUGGGGUCUUAAUUUUUUAGUUUUCCCUUUCCCCAUCUUACCCAUGAGCCCAGAGGCCAAGGCCAUAAGCCCAGCCCACAAGGUUAAUGAGACUCUUCUGGUUUAACUUUCAGAAACAAGAUUGGAUUUUCUGUCCUUUGUAGAAUCACUGUAUUGAAGAAAUUUUCUAGUUUGGCCUCAACUUUAGACAGCGGGUCCAUAUGGAAUAUUUGCUGGUAGGGAUGCCUCCAGAGGACUGGCAACAUUUUGCCUAGAUAAGGAUGCACUUAGAGAUGAAUAUGAUGAUCUCUCAGAUUUGAACGCAGUACAAAUGGAGAGUGUUCGAGAAUGGGAAAUGCAGUUUAAAG